rnacentral:rRNA from 1 species
UACGGAGGGUGCGAGCGUUGUUCGGAUUUACUGGGCGUAAAGGGCGCGUAGGCGGCCACCGCAAGUCGACUGUGAAAUCUCCGGGCUUAACCCGGAAAGGUCAGCUGAUACUGCGGGGCUAGAGUGCAGAAGGGGCAACUGGAAUUCUCGGUGUAGCGGUGAAAUGCGUAGAUAUCGAGAGGAACACCUGCGGCGAAGGCGGGUUGCUGGGCUGACACUGACGCUGACAGCGCGAAAGCUAGGGGAGCGAACGGG